GUACACGCUGUGACUAGCAUAUCAAUAAGCGGAGGAAAAGAAACUAACAAGGAUUCCCCUAGUAACGGCGAGUGAAGCGGGAAGAGCUCAAAUUUGAAAUCUUAAAGGGUUUCCCUUUACGAAUUGUAGUUUAAAGAAGUGUUUUCUGUUGAGGUUUUGGUAAAAGUUCUUUGGAAUAGGACAUCAUAGAGGGUGAGAAUCCCGUAUUUGACCUUUACUUUCAACUUUGUGAUACACUUUCAAAGAGUCGGAUUGUUUGGGAAUGCAGUCCAAAAUGGGUGGUAAAUUUCAUCUAAAGCUAAAUAUUGGCGAGAGACCGAUAGCGAACAAGUACCGUGAGGGAAAGGAUGAAAAGAACUUUGAAAAGAGAGUUAAACAGUACGUGAAAUUGUCAAAAGGGAAGCGUUUGACACCAGUGUUGUUUUUCUGAAAAUCAAUUAAAGAACUGUUUAUGCUAAGUUGUUUAGACUUUAUCAGCUAACUGUUUAGUUUUGAGCUUUUCUUUAAUGCACUUUUCAGUUAACAAGUCAACAUCAAUUUCUUUUGCUGUAAAAAAGCUUGAGGAAGGUGGCUUGAGAUUCGUCUUAAGUGUUUAUAGCCUCUUGCCUAUGCAGUCGGAGAGAUUGAGGUCUGCAGCGUAGAUCCUUCGGGGCUAAAUGCAUUUGUGCUAAGUUAUAGCAUUUUAUAGACAACUUGUUGACUAUGAUUUGUCUUGUAGCUUACUCGCUUAUGUUAUUUUACCUACGCUUAGGAUGUUGAGCGCAUGUCUCUCUC
rnacentral:rRNA from 1 species